ensembl:snRNA U2 U2 spliceosomal RNA
AUUGCUUUUGGUUUUAUUGAAAUUAAAAAAAAUAAAAAAAUUAAAUCUGUUCUUAUCAGUUUAAUAUCUGAUACGUCCCCCAUCGGGGGACUAUACAUAUUAAAUGGAUUUUUCGAACAGGGAGUCGGAAGCGGGGCUUGCUCUGUCCGCUCCACGCAUCGACUCUGUAUUGCAGUACCUCCGAGAACGGUGCACCCUCU